rnacentral:pre_miRNA from 1 species
AGGAAAGGAAAGGAAAGGAAAACACGGAAAUCGAGGAGUGAACUUGGACUAUUCCAAGUUCACUCCUCGAUUUCCGUGUUUUCCUUUCCUUUCCUUUCCU